GAUGAACGCUGGCGGCGUGCCUAAUACAUGCAAGUCGAGCGAACAGACGAGGAGCUUGCUCCUCUGACGUUAGCGGCGGACGGGUGAGUAACACGUGGAUAACCUACCUAUAAGACUGGGAUAACUUCGGGAAACCGGAGCUAAUACCGGAUAAUAUAUUGAACCGCAUGGUUCAAUAGUGAAAGACGGUUUUGCUGUCACUUAUAGAUGGAUCCGCGCCGCAUUAGCUAGUUGGUAAGGUAACGGCUUACCAAGGCAACGAUGCGUAGCCGACCUGAGAGGGUGAUCGGCCACGCUGGAACUGAGACACGGUCCAGACUCCUACGGUAGGCAGCAGUAGGGAAUCUUCCGCAAUGGGCGAAAGCCUGACGGAGCAACGCCGCGUGAGUGAUGAAGAUCUUCGGAUCGUAAAACUCUGUUAUUAGGGAAGAACAAAUGUGUAAGUAACUAUGCACGUCUUGACGGUACCUAAUCAGAAAGCCACGGCUAACUACGUG
rnacentral:rRNA from 1 species